CUGCUCUAAUAAUAAUUGAGGCUCUCUGUUUCGGAGUGAACGGGUGACUCAUCCAAGGCUGGAGAAACCAAAACUUGAGUAUGCAGUGAAGGCAAACAGUGUCAGCAAAAGGUGAGGCAAUGCAGAUCAAGAUAGAAAUCAGUUUAGUUUCACCAGCAGCAAAAGGUUACCAGAUGCUGGGCUAACAGCUGGGGCUAGCUGCAUUUUCUCUCUCACUGAAACUGCAGGAAUGGCUACUCAAUAAUCACAACUGACUAAAAAUUGUAAUUAAAAGAAGAAUUACAAGUGGGAAUGCUCUGUUACAUCCAGAAAUAAUCUAGCCUUCAACAUACCAGUCUCAAACAAGGACUGACUGCAGUGUAGCAACAGGUUAUAGUGACCACAUAAUUGUACUGUAAAUGCUGGCAGAGAAACCCAAAAGAAUAUUUUUAGUAAAGCAUUUCCUCCUGACAUUUGCAAACCUCACCCAGUGAAUGUCACCUAAACUAAGACUUCAGUGCUGAAUAUAUGCUUGGCAGGAAAACUCCUGGGUUUACUUCUGAGA